AUUGAACGCUGGCGGCAGGCUUAACACAUGCAAGUCGAGCGAGUGGCGGACGGGUGAGUAAUGUCUGGGAAACUGCCUGAUGGAGGGGGAUAACUACUGGAAAAGGUAGCUAAUACCGCAUACCAUCAGAUGUGCCCAGAUGGGUUUUGCUAGUAGGUGGGGUAAAGGCUCACCUAGGCGACGGUCCCUCGCUGGUCUGUGAGGAUGACCAGCCACACUGGAACUGAGCCACGGUCCAGACUCCUACGUGAGGCAGCAUUGGGGAAUAUGGCACAAUGGGCGCAAGCCUGAUGCAGCCAUGCUGCGGGGAUGAAGAAGGCCUUCGGGUUGUAAAGCACUUUCAGCGAGGAGGCGUUACUCGCAGAAGAAGCACCGGCUAACUCCGUGCCAGCAGCCGCGGUAAUAC
rnacentral:rRNA from 1 species